CCUACGGGAGGCAGCAGUGGGGAAUCUUGGGCAAUGGGCGCAAGCCUGACCCAGCAACGCCGCGUGAAGGAAGACGGCUUUCGGGUUGUAAACUUCUUUUAAGAGGGAAGAGCAGAAGACGGUACCUCUUGAAUAAGCCACGGCUAACUACGUGCCAGCAGCCGCGGUAAUACGUAGGUGGCAAGCGUUGUCCGGAUUUACUGGGUGUAAAGGGCGUGUAGCCGGGCUGACAAGUCAGAUGUGAAAUCCCGUGGCUCAACCACGGAACUGCAUUGGAAACUGUCGGUCUUGGGUAUCGGAGAGGCAGGCGGAAUUCCUAGUGUAGCGGUGAAAUGAGUAGAUAGUAGGAGGAACACCAGUGGCGAAGGCGGCCUGCUGGACGACAACUGACGGUGAGGCGCGAAAGCGUGGGGAGCAAACAGGAUUAGAUACCCCAGUAGUC
rnacentral:rRNA from 1 species